rnacentral:rRNA from 1 species
GGCAGCUUUCUGGAUCAUUACUGACACUGAGGAACGAAAGCAUGGGUAGCGAAGAGGAUUAGAUACCCUCGUAGUCCAUGCCGUAAACGAUGUGUGUUAGACGUUGGAAAUUUAUUUUCAGUGUCGCAGGGAAACCGAUAAACACACCGCCUGGGGAGUACGACCGCAAGGUUAAAACUCAAAUGAAUUGACGGGGACCCGCACAAGUAGUGGAGCAUGUGGUUUAAUUCGAAGAUACGCGCAGAACCUUACCAACACUUGACAUGUUCGUCGCGACUCUAAGAGAUUAGAGUUUUCGGUUCGGCCGGACGAAACACAGGUGCUGCAUGGCUGUCGUCAGCUCGUGUCGUGAGAUGUUGGGUUAAGUCCCGCAACGAGCGCAACCCUCACUUUUAGUUGCCAUCAUUAAGUUGGGCACUCUGAAAGAACUGCCAGUGAUAAGCUGGAGGAAGGUGGGGAUGACGUCAAGUCCUCAUGGCCCUUACGUGUUGGGCUACACACGUGCUACAAUGGCAUCUACAACAGGAAGCAAAACGGCAACGUUAAGCAAAUCCCGAAAAGAUGCCUCAGUUCGGAUUGCACUCUGCAACUCGAGUGCAUGAAGCUGGAAUUACUAGUAAUCGUGGAUCAGCGUGCCACGGUGAAUGCGUUCCCGGGUCUUGUACACACCGCCCGUCACACCAUGGGAGUUGGUUCUACCUUAAGGCAAGGUUUCAAACCCUUGACCACGGUAUAGUCAGCGACUGGGGUGAAGUCGUAACAAGGUAACCGUA